AGAGUUUGAUCCUGGCUCAGAACGAACGCUGGCGGCAGGCUUAACACAUGCAAGUCGAACGCACCUUCGGGUGAGUGGCAGACGGGUGAGUAACGCGUGGGAACGUGCCCUUCAGUUCGGAAUAACCCAGGGAAACUUGGGCUAAUACCGGAUACGUGCGAGAGCAGAAAGAUUUAUCGCUGAAGGAUCGGCCCGCGUCUGAUUAGCUAGUUGGUGGGGUAAUGGCCCACCAAGGCGACGAUCAGUAGCUGGUCUGAGAGGAUGAUCAGCCACAUUGGGACUGAGACACGGCCCAAACUCCUACGGGAGGCAGCAGUGGGGAAUAUUGGACAAUGGGCGCAAGCCUGAUCCAGCCAUGCCGCGUGAGUGAUGAAGGCCUUAGGGUUGUAAAGCUCUUUCGGCGGGGACGAUAAUGACGGUACCCGCAGAAGAAGCCCCGGCUACUUCGUGCCAGCAGCCGCGGUAAUACGAAGGGGGCUAGCGUUGUUCGGAAUCACUGGGCGUAAAGGGCGCGUAGGCGGCUUGAUAAGUCGGGGGUGAAACCUGUGGCUCAACCACAGAAUUGCCUUCGAUACUGUCUGGCUUGAGACCGGAAGAGGUAAGUGGAACUGCGAGUGUAGAGGUGAAAUUCGUAGAUAUUCGCAAGAACACCAGUGGCGAAGGCGGCUUACUGGUCCGGUUCUGNNNCUGAGGCGCGAAAGCGUGGGGAGCAAACAGGAUUAGAUACCCUAGUAGUCC
rnacentral:rRNA from 1 species